CAACUUUCCACAAUGGAAGUCUAGGCUCGCACAUCCAUGAAAAACGCUGCGAACUGCGAUACGUAAUGGCAAUUGCAGGAUUCCAUGAAUCAUCCAAAUUUUGAACGCCAAUUGGACUUCCGGGUUAAUCCCGGGAGUAUGCCUGGAUCCAUGGCCGUAC
rnacentral:rRNA from 1 species